GACGAACGCUGGCGGCGUGCUUAACACAUGCAAGUCGAACGGAAAGGCCCUGCUUUUGUGGGGUGCUCGAGUGGCGAACGGGUGAGUAACACGUGAGUAACCUGUCCUUGACUUUGGGAUAACUUCAGGAAACUGGGGCUAAUACCGGAUAGGAGCUCCUGCUGCUGGGUGGGGGUUGGAAAGUUUCGGCGGUUGGGGAUGGACUCGCGGCUUAUCAGCUUGUUGGUGGGGUAGUGGCUGACCAAGGCCUUGACGGGUAGCCGGCCUGAGCGGGUGACCGGCCACAUUAGGACUGAGCUACGGCCCAGACUCCUACGGGAGGCAGCAGUGGAGAAGAUUGCACAAUGGGCGGAAGCCUGAUGCAGCACCGCCGCGUGCGGGAUGACGGCCUUCGGGUUGUAAUCUGCUUUCGCCUGUGACGAAGCGUGAGUGACGGUAAUGGGUAAAUAAGCACCGGCUAACUCCGUG
rnacentral:rRNA from 1 species